rnacentral:rRNA from 1 species
UACGUAGGGGGCAAGCGUUGUCCGGAAUCAUUGGGCGUAAAGCGCGCGUAGGCGGCCCGGUAAGUCCGCUGUAAAAGUCCAGGGCUCAACCCUGGAAAGCCGGUGGAUACUGUCGGGCUAGAGUCCGGAAGAGGCGAGUGGAAUUCCUGGUGUAGCGGUGGAAUGCGCAGAUAUCAGGAAGAACACCCGUGGCGAAGGCGGCCCUCUGGGACGGUACUGACGCUGAGACGCGAAAGCGUGGGGAGCAAACAGG